CCUACGGGUGGCAGCAGUGAGGAAUAUUGGUCAAUGGGCGCGAGCCUGAACCAGCCACGUAGCGUGAAGGAAGACGGCCCUACGGGUUUUAAACUUCUUUUGUAAGGGAAUAAAGUGAGGCACUUGUGCCUGUUUGUAUGUACUUUAUGAAUAAGGAUCGGCUAACUCCGUGCCAGCAGCCGCGGUAAUACGGAGGAUCCGAGCGUUAUCCGGAUUUAUUGGGUUUAAAGGGAGCGUAGAUGGGUUGGUAAGUCAGUUGUGAAAGUUGGGGGCUCAACCGUAAGAUUGCAAUUGAUACUGGCAGCCUUGAGUACAGGAGAGGUAGGCGGAAUUCGUGGUGUAGCGGUGAAAUGCGUAGAUAUCACGAAGAACUCCGAUUGCGAAGGCAGCUUACUAAACUGCCACUGACAUUGAGGCUCGAAAGCGUGGGUAGCAAACAGGAUUAGAUACCCCAGUAGUC
rnacentral:rRNA from 1 species